rnacentral:lncRNA from 1 species
GAACGAAGAACCCAUGGGCCUCCUGAGGCGGCGGCUGCUGCUGCUGGUGGUGGUGGUGACGACCUGUGUCCCAGCCUCCCAGGGCCUGCGGUGCAUACAGUGCGAAAGUAACCAGGACUGCCUGGUGGAGGAGUGUGCCCUGGGCCAGGACCUCUGCAGAACCACGGUGCUUCGGGAAUGGGAAGACGCCGAGGAGCUGGAGGUGGUGACCAGAGGCUGUGCCCACAAGGAGAAGACCAACAGGACCAUGAGCUACCGCAUGGGCUCGGUGAUCGUCAGCCUCACCG